rnacentral:lncRNA from 1 species
AUCUGUUCAGCGCGUUUUUGCAUGAGUUUUUGUGUUAAUAGCCAUGUACUGGACCACGUGUCUCCUGCGUGGCAUACUGAUUGGUUCAAAUUGUUUUGCCUUGCCACAUGGACUUAAGUGAAACAGCGCGUUUCACUUAUAAGCGCCUCAAUUUGAAAUCUGGCACGGUUCGAUUCCCAGCUUGGGGACUUUUCCAACAUUGCAUUUCAUUUUUUGCUCAUUUCUCUCCAUGCUUUCAUACAUUGUUCUUCAUGUUUUUUUUAUUUUUCAUUCACUUAAAAAUUUUAUAUCUCAAUAAAUAAUGAUCCAAAUGACCUGGGAAUUUUUGCAUUGUUCUCCUCAUUGUGUCUACUAUGUUUUGAGCAUUUUUCCAAAAAU